rnacentral:rRNA from 1 species
UACAGAGGUCUCAAGCGUUGUUCGGAUUCAUUGGGCGUAAAGGGUGUGUAGGUGGCGCCGUAAGUCGGGUGUGAAAUCUCGGAGCUUAACUCCGAAAUUGCACCGGAUACUGCGUAACUCGAGGACUGUAGAGGAGAUCGGAAUUCACGGUGUAGCAGUGAAAUGCGUAGAUAUCGUGAGGAAGACCAGUUGCGAAGGCGGAUCUCUGGGCAGUUCCUGACACUGAGGCACGAAGGCCAGGGGAGCAAACGGG